rnacentral:lncRNA from 1 species
CCUUCGAUGCACACCAAGGGUUGUAGACAUAAAUUGAGCUUGAGUCUGAUCCAGGCCAUGGAGGAAAACUAUGAGGUGGACCUGGUCUACAUCACAGAGCGCAUCAUUUCUGUGAGCUUCCCCAGUAAUGUAGAAGAGCCAAGCUACAGCGCUAACAUAAAGGAGGUCGCCACCAUGCUACGCUCCAAACAUGGUGACAACUACUUGCUCUUCAACCUCAGUGAAAAGCGAUUUGAUAUCUCCAAGCUGAAUCCCAAAGUGCUGGAUUUUGGCUGGCCGGACCAUCACGCUCCAGCCCUGGAUAAGAUCUGCAGCAUCUGCAAAGCCAUGGACACUUGGAUGAACGCUGACAGUCACAAUGUGGUGGUCUUACACAAUAAGGGAAACCGAGGUCGAACGGGGGUAGUUGUGGCUGCAUACAUGCAUUACAGCAACAUAUCAGCGAGUGCAGACCAGGCUCUGGACAGGUUUGCCAUGAAGCGGUUUUAUGAAGAUAAAGUGCUUCCUGUGGGUCAGCCCUCUUCCUGUGGGUAUGUGCAGUACUUCAGUGGUCUGCUCUCCGGCCAUAUCAAGAUCAACAACAAGCCCCUGUUCCUGCACCACGUCAUCAUGCACGGGAUCCCAAACUUCGAGUCCAAAGGAGGUUGCCGCCCUUUCCUCAAGAUCUACCAGGCUAUGCAAUUUCCUGAAUAUGGAAAAGUGGAAUUUGUCUUUUCUUUCGGCCCAGAAAAAAUCCAAGGAAUGGACCACCUUGAGAACGGGCCCAGUGUUUCUGUGGACUACAAUACCCAAGAUCCUCUGAUUCGCUGGGAUUCUUACGAGAACUUCAACCAGCACUGUGAAGAUUCAGAGGAGGACGUUAUUCACACACAAGGUCCAUUGGAUGGUAGUCUCUACGCUAAGGUUCGGAAGAAAGAGUCUCUUGAGGGAGGGGUCACAACCAAUGGUCUCCCAGCCAGUGUCGAUCACACUUUACCUGCUGUAGACCACACUCUACCACCAGUCGACCACGCCCUGUCUGUAAGCAGUGACUCGGGCAACUCCACUGCUUCCAUCAAAACCGACCGCACGGAUGAACCGGCCUUAGUGAGUCAGCCGUCCUCCCAGCCCCUCAGCCCAGAGGAAAAACAGGAGCUGGACCAGUUGCUCAGUGGCUUGGAAGCACCAAUGCAACGCACAGGUUACCAAAGCAGCCCUGGCAGCGGAGGCGGUGGAGUCCUACACCUCGUCCCCGCCCAGGUUCAUGUCAAUGGACACAACAACAUAGACCGUGAGACAGAUAUCCUUGAUGAUGACCUGCCCAACAGUCAGGAAGGGAACAGUGCGGACAGUCUCGGGACCAUCUCGUCUUUUGAGGGCAGAGCCACUCCAGCAGAUCUGUACUACCAGCCAGAGACGGUCAUUAAUGGAAAAGAUGCACAAGAUGACUUAGAGAAGGGUGUCCACAAGAAAAUACCAGAGCCCAAAGUCCAAAGCUCCUCAUCUGUUCAAGAGCUCUUAGGGUCCUCUAGUGGCUUUGCCAACCAGAAUGGCAACAUCUGCCGAUCUCAAUCAUUAGGGGCAGCCCCGACCACAGAGCAGAAGUACAUGCCCAAAGCUCCCACACGCACGAUUAGCAGUAGGGAUGCAGUGCAAAGGGGACUGAAUGUGUGGCAACAAUAUGGUGUUCCUGAGGUCCCAGUCACAGAUGGGGUCACCUUCAACCCUGUACUACAGUCCCACAGUCUUCCAGAGUUUCCUCACAUGGCAUCUCAGCAAGAAAUUGAGCAGUCCAUUGAAGCACUUAACAUGCUGAUGCUGGACCUUGACCCAGCACUUACACAAGUCCCCAAGUCCCAUAGUGCCCCAUCUGGAGAUGGUGGAGUGGUCACCACUCAACCAUCAAACCCAUUAUCACAAACCCAAGCACGGCCGUCCUACCAAUCUGACACAGCCAUUCAUGCCGCAGAGCCUCCACAACCCACCAUGAACCAGCAGAGACCCACAGCCAUAUCCCAGCAUGCUGCAUUCCCUUCUGAGGCAGAAGGUUGGGCUCCAAUGUCCCAGUCCACAGUGCCUUCCACCGCCUUUGGAGUUCUCCAUUUGAAACCCCUCAACAUUUACCCCUCAAGUUCCACGUCCCAGUCCCCUGAGCCCCAGGAGAGUCAGCGUAGCUAUUCUGCCUCCUCAUCCCCUCUACCUAAAGAGUCUGAACCGGAAGAUGCCAACUACAAACUGGGUGGUCUUGUAGCUCACCGUGUAGCUGGAGUUCAGUCUGGUGAAAUGUCACCAGAUGAGACUUCAGUUCCUGGACGGUGCCGGACCAUCAGUGAGGACCUUUCCCAAGAUGAAAGCCCAACCCGAGGAAGCUCAGUCCGCUCCCCCAUCCGCUGCAUUUCACCCGAGUUGGCCAAUACGAUUGCUUUGAACCCUGGGGGGCGGCCCAAGGAGAGACACAUGCAUAGCUACAGAGAAGCGUUUGAGGAAAUGGAUGGGGGUCGAUCUCCACCAGGACUGGCCAAAACACCACUGUCCUUCCUGGGCUUGAAACCCCACAACCCUGCUGAGAUACUGCUCAACCAGACAGGUUCAGGUGAGCCUCGUAGCUAUGUGGAGUCUGUGGCCAAAGCAGCUGCAGGUGGGCUGCCAGCGUCGCCUGUGUCUCCAACAUAUGACAGCAACAGCUUUGCACGUCCUGUCGGGCCGUCCCAUGCCUACAACGCUCCUCUUUCCUCCAGCAGCCCUAUUCAGAGCCCAGAUGCAAGCAGCCCCGUCCUCAACCAACAGGUGUCCCUAAAUCAACCAAUCAUUCUGCCUAACCAAAGCAGCCCGGUGUUGAGUAGACAGCCAUCCGUUAGCCAACCCAACCAGGGCAGCCCCGUCCUGAGCAGGCAAUCCCCACUUACACAUCCCAGUCAGGGCAGCCCCGUUCUGGGAUGCCAUCCGUCCCUAAUGCAGGGUAGCCCCAGUCUGGACAGGCACCCAAUGUACAGUGGUUACACUACUCCAGAAGAGCGACACGGAGCCCUUUCGCGCCAGAGCAGCUCCUCUGGAUACCAGCCACCAUCUACACCUUCUUUCCCAGUCUCUCCGGCUGGAUACAUAGAUGGAGUGGGAUUCAGACAGGGCAGUCCUGCCCCCCAACCUCAGCUCCCCGAAAAGAGACGUAUGUCCAGCAGCGAUCGCUCUACUGGUGGACUGUCCUACGGAACGCUCAACGGGAAGAUGUCCUCGCCAGUGUCCAGUGGUGGCAGCACUCCAAGCGCUCAUUUCUUCCACACGCUCCCUGAUUUCUCCAAACUCAACAUGUGCGAAGGAAGUCCAGAGACCAGUCUGCACGUGAAGUUUGUCCAGGACACGUCCAAAUUCUGGUAUAAACCAGAUAUCUCCAGAGACCAAGCCAUCAACAUGCUGAAAGAUCAAGAGCCUGGAGCCUUUGUCAUUCGGGACAGUCAUUCAUUCAGAGGGGCCUACGGCUUGGCCAUGAAAGUUGCCUCACCACCUCCGACUGUGCAACCUACAAAGAAAGCUGGAGAUGUCACUAAUGAGCUGGUGAGACAUUUCCUGAUUGAGACGAGUCCGAAAGGCGUGAGACUGAAGGGCUGCCCUAACGAGCUGUACUUUGGCUGCCUGUCUGCACUGGUCUACCAGCACUCAAUCACUCCACUGGCUCUACCCUGCAAACUAGUCAUACCAACCAGAGAUCCUCUAGAGGACUCUCCUGUGAUCGCAACACCAACUAACCCAGCGGCAGAGAUGCUCAAACAGGGUGCAGCAUGCAAUGUCCUGUACAUAAACUCGGUGGAUAUGGAGUCUCUGACUGGGCCUCAGGCCAUCGCCAAGGCCAUCUCAGAAACCAUGGUAGCCAGUCCCGCACCUUCAGCCACUAUUGUUCACUUUAAGGUGUCGGCACAAGGCAUCACUCUCACUGACAACCAGAGAAAGCUUUUCUUCAGACGUCAUUAUCCCAUCAGUACGGUCACGUUCUGUGACAUUGAUCCACAGGAGAGGAAGUUCUUUGGUUUUGUGGCCAGAAAGCAAGGCAGCACGACAGACAACGUCAGUCACCUGUUCGCCGAGAUGGAUCCCAAUCAACCGGCCACGGCCAUCGUCAGCUUUGUCUCUAAAGUGAUGACCAACUCUCAGAAGCAGUGA